UUCAGAAAAUAAAAAGAAAAAGGAGAUUUUUUGGCUAGAUUAGUACAGAAUCGAAUAUAUUCUCACGGAUCAUAACCAAAUCUCCCGGUUCGGGCCAGCUGUCAAAGAAAAAUUGUUUCGGGAACUUCCCGAGGUCGAACGAUCUUCAAAUUUUACGAGGAUGUGCCCAACUCAUGUAGAGAUCAAGAAAAAAUAUCAGAGAGACCGAAAGGUUCAUGAGAAAUUCAGGAAAAUUCGGGAUGUUCAGAUCAGCUCAUGGACUGUUGGUGACAGCUAGCAUAGCACCCUGACUUCUCUCCUCCAGCUGCCUCCUUUCCUAAAAAUGCGGACUCCCUCGGAAAAAAACCCUAGCCGCCACAACUCCCUCCUCUGGUUUUUCCCACAGCUCCUCUCCUCUCUUCUUCCUCCGGAUUCCAGGAUCCAAAAAAAAAAGAAAAAAAACAACGCCCACAGCUCCCUCAACUGACAGCCAUCCCUAGCCCUACAACCGGCACCAUCGUCUCCUCUUCACCACCUCCCUUACUGCUUUUAUUUGCCGUUGUGCUUCUUUACAUUGCUGCCCAAACUGCCCAUUCGCCAUCGAGUUGAUGAUCACUUUCGAAGCUAAGUCUCCUCCAUCUCUACGUCAGUCUCCAUGUCUUUUAAUUGAUUUUUUUCUGCUCUAAUACAUUUUUUCUUUUUUUUCUUUUUUUGCUGGCCUUUGUCCUUUCUCGCGCUAUCCUUUCUCCUUGCGGACAACAAAGUUGGCCAAGCGAGACGAGAGGAAGAAGUCCCGCGGCCGCGCCAACAAAUGGAUGCAUUAAAAUCAGAGCCGGUCUAGCCCAGAAGUUCGGCCCAUUCCGGCCCAACGUCCCCAAUUCGGUUCAGCAGCUCUUCCGGGCGGCUUCUCCUUCGAGCGGGCUAGUCCGAUCCGAUCCGAUCCGACCCGAUUGUCCGGCAAUUUUUUUUAUUUUACAGAGAAGCCCCAUCAACUUUCCGGACUAGGGAUGUCGCGAUCGGCCUCUUGUCUGUGCAUCGACCAUGUCUUGCCACCGCUAAACGACAUCAACUGCAUCUGGACUAGUCUUGCACACAGUCAACCACGACCACAUCACCUCCUUCAUCGGAGAUAUCCCUUUACUAGUAACUCGUUGAAUAUACUGGAACCUCCUUGAAGACGUUUCAUUCUGGGAUCUCGUCAACGAGGUCUUCGACAUCCAAGGUAUCAGAAUCCACACCAAUCAUUGAGGGAUAUUAAACCCUCAUCCAACCGCACUCAAGGAUCUCACCGAAUCUUCAUAGAGCGAGGCCGGCACACCUAUCAAGGCAUCUUUUUCUUCAGAUGUAGCUGCCUUGAUCUGCUCACCAGCAUCAGAAUCGAGACAAUUCGUCUUCGCCGGAUAUAGCCAAGAAGAAUGAGGAACUCAUCGACCAGCAUCAACUCCGAGGAAACUCGCAGGCGCCUACAUCGAGCUUUCGAGACGUGAUCAAGAGUUGGCCCAAGUGAAUACUGCCUUAGAGAGGUCUCGGCCCAGAACCGGUGCUUUCCAAAUCCUCUUAUUAUAAUCAAUCAUAUUAAUCACACCAUCAUUACCAUCCACUUGACGUAAUAUAUAUGAAUAUUAGAAUGUAUUUGACCAUUUCAGUA